GCGCCGGUGGUCUAAUGGCUACACGCAUGUGCCAUAAAUGACUGUGGCCUUCCAAGCCAUAUAUCUGGGUUCAAAAAGGUCAGAAAAACCUGUGAGAUUCCCAGCCGGCGCA
rnacentral:tRNA from 1 species